rnacentral:rRNA from 1 species
AGUGAACGCUGGCGGCGUGCCUAAUACAUGCACGUCGAACGAAGUGGCGCACGGGUGAGUAAUAUAUAGUUAAUCUGCACUACACAGAGGAACAACCGUUGGAAACGGCUGCUAAUACCUCAUAGUGUAGGAUGAGAAUAUAUCGUAUCAGCUAUUUGGUAAGGUAAUGGCGUACCAAGGCUAUGACGCGUAACUGGUCUGAGAGGAUGUUCAGUCACAUUGGAACUGAGACACGGUCCAAACUCCUACAGGAGGCAGCAGUAAGGAAGAUUGAGAAAUGGUGGAAACCCUGACGCAGCAACGCCGCGUGGAGGAUGACACUUUUCGGAGCGUAAACUCCUUUUAUCAGGAAAGCGGUACCUGAUGAAUAAGCACCGGCUAACUCCGUGCCAGCAGCCGCGGUAAUUC